AGUGAACGCUGGCGGUAGGCCUAACACCUGCAAGUCGAACGGCAGCACAGUAAUAGCUUGCUCUUACGGGUGGCGAGUGGCGGACGGGUGAGGAAUACAUCUGAAUCUACUUUUUCGUGGGGGAUAAAGUAGGGCAACUUACGCUACUACCGCAUACGACCUACGGGUGAAAGCAGGGGACCUUCGGACCUUGCGCGAUAGAAUGAGCCGAUGUCGGAUUAGCUAGUUGGCGGGGUAAAGGCCCACCAAGGCGACGAUCCGUAGCUGGUCUGAGAGAAUGAUCAGCCACACUGGAACGGAGACACGGUCCAGACUCCUACGGGGGGCAGCAGUGGGGAAUAUUGGACAAUGGGCGCAAGCCUGAUCCAGCCAUACCGCGUGGGUGAAGAAGGCCUUCUGGUUGUAAAGCCCUUUUGUUGGGAAAGAAAAGCAGCAGGUUAAUACCCCGCUGUUCUGACGGUACCCAAAGAAUAAGCACCGGCUAACUUCGUG
rnacentral:rRNA from 1 species